rnacentral:rRNA from 1 species
UACAGAGGGUGCAAACGUUGCUCGGAAUUAUUGGGCGUAAAGCGCGUGUAGGCGGCUUGUUAAGUCGGUGGUGAAAACCCAUGGCUCAACCAUGGAAGGGCGUCCGAAACUGGCAAGCUAGAGUCCUGACGAGGAUGGCGGAAUUCCCAGUGUAGAGGUGAAAUUCGUAGAUAUUGGGAGGAACACCGGUGGCGAAGGCGGCCAUCUGGGAGGGCACUGACGCUGAGGUGCGAAAGCUAGGGGAGCGAACAGG